GUCCUUUUGAUUAUAAUUUAGGUCUAACCUGCCCAAUGAAUAUUUUAAUGGCCGCAGUAAUUUGACUGUGCAAAGGUAGCAUAAUCAUUAGUUUUUUAAUUGAAAGCUUGUAUGAAUGGUUGGACGAGAAAAAGACUGUCUAAGUUUAUUUAUUGAAUUUAAUUUUUUAGUUAAAAAGCUAAAAUUUUAUUAAAAGACGAGAAGACCCUAUAGAUCUUUAUAUAAUUUUGUAUAGAUUUAAUAAAGAAUUUUUUAUUAUUUAUAUUUAAUUAUAUUUUAUUGGGGUAAUAUAAAAAUUGAAUUAAUUUUUUAUUAUUUAAAUAUUUAAUUAUAAUUAUAUGAUCCAAUCUUAUUGAAAUAUGAUUAAGUUACCUUAGGGAUAACAGCGUAAUUUUUUUAGAGAGUUCAUAUCGAUAAAAAAGAUUGCGACCUCGAUGUUGGAUUAAAAUUAAUCUUAGGUGCAGAAUUUUAAGAUUUUGGUCUGUUCGACCAUUAAAAUUUU
rnacentral:rRNA from 1 species